rnacentral:rRNA from 3 species
ACGCGGAGGAACCUUACCUACUCUUUAUCGUCAGAGAACCCCCCAGAGAUGGAUAGGAGGCUUCUGGGAACUCUGAGACAGGUGCUGCAUGGCUGUCGUCAGCUCGUGUUGUGAAAUGUUGGGUUAAGUUGCGCAACGAGCGCAGCCCUUAUCCUUUGUUGCCAGCGGUUCGGCCGGGAACUCAAAGGAGACUGCCAGUGAUAAACUGGAGGAAGCUGCGGCUGACGUCCAGUCAUCAUGGGCAUUCGAGUAGGGCUACACACGUGCUACAAUGGCAUAUACAAAGAGAAGCGCCCUCGCGAGAGCAAGCGGACCUCAUAAAGUAUGUCGUAGUCCGGAUUGGAGUCUGCAACUCGACCCCAGAAGUCGGAAACGCUAGUAAUCGUAGAUCAGAAGUCUACGG